AUUGAACGCUGGCGGAAUGCUUUACACAUGCAAGUCGAACGGCAGCACGGGGGCAACCCUGGUGGCGAGUGGCGAACGGGUGAGUAAUAUAUCGGAACAUGUCCGGAAGUGGGGGAUGACGUACCGAAAGGUACGCUAAUACAGCAUACGCACCGAGGGGGAAAGGCGGGGAUCGCAAGACCUGUCGCUUUCGGAGUGGCCGAUAUUGGAUGAGCUAGUUGGUGGGGUAAAGGCCCACCAAGGCGACGAUCCGUAGCUGGUCUGAGAGGACGACCAGCCACACUGGAACUGAGACACGGUCCAGACUCCUACGGGAGGCAGCAGUGGGGAAUUUUCCGCAAUGUGCGAAAGCCUGACGGAGUUACGCCGCGUGGGGGACGAAGGCCUUCGGGUCGUAAACCCCUGUCAGAGGGAAAGAAGGGUGCUGGCGUGAAUAGCGCCGGCAUCUGACGGUACCUUCAGAGGAAGCCCCGGCCAACUCUGUGCCAGCAGCCGCCGUAAAAC
rnacentral:rRNA from 1 species